rnacentral:rRNA from 1 species
ACUCCUACGGGAGGCAGCAGUGGGGAAUUUUGCGCAAUGGGGGAAACCCUGACGCAGCAACGCCGCGUGAGUGAUGAAGGCCUUCGGGUCGUAAAGCUCUGUCAGAGGGGAAGAGGUGCAGUGGUGCUAAUAUCAUCAUUGCUUGACGGUACCCUCAAAGGAAGCACCGGCUAACUCCGUGCCAGCAGCCGCGGUAAUACGGAGGGUGCAAGCGUUGUUCGGAAUUAUUGGGCGUAGAGCGCGUGUAGGCGGUCUUUUAAGUCUGAUGUGAAAGCCCCGGGCUCAACCUGGGAAGUGCAUUGGAAACUGGGAGACUUGAAUACGGGAGAGGGUAGUGGAAUUCCUAGUGUAGGAGUGAAAUCCGUAGAUAUUAGGAGGAACACCGGUGGCGAAGGCGGCUACCUGGACCGAUAUUGACGCUGAGACGCGAAAGCGUGGGGAGCAAACAGGAUUAGAUACCCUGGUAGUC